rnacentral:tRNA from 1 species
AAAUAUUUAAUCUAAAUAAGAUUGCUAAUUUCGACUUAGUAAAUUUUGGUUAAACCCCAAAAAUAUUUU